AUUGAACGCUGGCGGCAGGCUUAACACAUGCAAGUCGAGCGGGGUGAUGGUGCUUGCACUAUCACUUAGCGGCGGACGGGUGAGUAAUGCUUAGGAAUCUGCCUAUUAGUGGGGGACAACAUCUCGAAAGGGAUGCUAAUACCGCAUACGUCCUACGGGGGAAAGCAGGGGAUCACUUAUGACCUUGCGCUAAUAGAUGAGCCUAAGUCGGAUUAGCUAGUUGGUGGGGUAAAGGCCUACCAAGGCGACGAUCUGUAGCGGGGCUGAGAGGAUGAUCGGCCACACUGGGACUGAGGCACGGCCCAGACUCCUACGGGAGGCAGCAGUGGGGAAUAUUGGACAAUGGGGGGAACCCUGAUCCAGCCAUGCCGCGUGUGUGAAGAAGGCCUUAUGGUUGUAAAGCACUUUAAGCGAGGAGGAGGCUCUUUUGGUUAAUACCCAGAAUGAGUGGACGUUACUCGCAGAAUAAGCACCGGCUAACUCUGUGCCAGCCGCCGCCGCGG
rnacentral:rRNA from 1 species